rnacentral:tRNA from 1 species
GGAUUAGUAGUUUAACCAAAAUAAUUUAUUGCAAAUAAAUAGAUGAUUAUUGUCCUAAUCUU